CUCCUCGCGGCGCCUGGCGCUCACCUCGCCCCGUGUCCCGGCUCAGGCGCCCCCGCGUCGCACCCUUGGGGCCAGGCGCCCGCAGGCGCCAAAACAGGCCGCGUGUCCUGGCACCGCCGCUCGGGCUCCGCGCGCGCCCCCACCCCGCCCCGCAGCCUCCCGCGCCGCGCGAUCGCACCCGGCCGCACGUGCGCCCCUCCACGCCCCCCAACCCUGGGCUCCGCGCCCUCCCAACCCGCCUCCUGCCGGCUCUCUCGAGUUCCCGUAAACUUGUUUUGGGGCUUCAGGCCCAGGAGCCUUGCAGAGACCUUCCGAGCGGAGGGGGCGGCCCGCGAGCCCCAAGCGCUGUGGCCCAAGCUGGAGGGAGGUGCAGCGGGGGGCGCUCUGCCCGGGUCCACCGAGGCCUCCGCGCGCGGCGGGUGUGUCCCCGCGCAGCCCUGGAGCUGCAGCGCCCCCUCGGCCGAGCCGGAGGCUCCCGGGUGUCCGAGUCGGGUAGGGGGUGGGGUCGGGGCCCGCAGGUCCCCGGGGAGCGAAGGGAGGGACGGCGGCGGCCCGCGCCCCCACGGGUGUCAGAGUCGGGUUGGGGUGGGGUCGGGGCCCGCGGGUCCCGGCAGCGAAGGGAGGGGCGGCGGCACCUUUGUGGCGGAUGCUGCGCUUCCAGUCCUUGGCGGUCUCGCGGCCGCUGACGAACUGGAACUCGUUGGGCGUGAGCCACUCGCCGCGGUGGCGGAUGGACGGGCCCUUGCUGCCCUGGCAGAGUUUGCGCACGUAGAGCAGCGCGCGGUUGGCGCCGCACUCCACCUCGAUGCACGGCUCGCCGUUGUCCAGCAGCGGCUGGAAAUCCGGGGCCGCGGCCGCGGUGGCCGAGAAGCGCUCGAGGGCCAGCGGGUCCCUGGGCAGGUGCAAGUGCGGGGCGGCCUCGUGCAGGCUGAGGUAGGCGCGCGGGGGGCGGAGCGGCGGGGCCAGCAGAGCCUCGUAGCCGGCGGCCGAGGCGGGCAAAGAGGCGGCCGGGGGGAGGGCCGCCGCCGCGGGCAGUGGCGCCAGGUAGCCCGGCAGCGGCGGCAGCGGCAGCGCGGCCAGGGUCGGGUGGAACGUGGCCAGAGCCAGGGCCAGGUCCUCGCGGCCCGGGAACUCCUUCUUGACCGCCGGCAUGGCGCCCCGGUGGCUUCGCAGCCCCGCUCCCCGCCGGCGGCAGCAACUUACUCCGGCCCGGGCGGAGUUGGGUCGCGGGGGCCGGGGAGGCGCCUGGCCGCGCGCCCACCCCGUCCGCUACUGCGCCCCGGCGCCUGCAGCCGCCGCCUCCGCGCCGCCCGCCAGGCCUCCCCGGACUGCUGCCCAGACGGCCGGCGGGGCCUCGGCGGCCCGAGACAUGGAGCUGCCGGAGCCGCUACCGAUCCCGGAUCAACUCGCCGAGCGCCGCAGCUCCCGGGCCUUGGGGCUCCGCGGGGCGUCCGGAGUCCCGCGCCCCGGCCACCUGCGCCCGCGCCCGGGGAAGACCCGCGCCCGGCUCGCCGACCCACCCUCCAGGCCGAGCCCGGCAGCGAGGAGCCGCGGAGUCCCCGCCCCGCCCGGGGGUCCCAAGCCCCCGCCCCGCCGCCCGGGCCGCGUCAGCCGUGCACCCGCGUCCACUGGCGCGCGCCCGCCCGGCGGGGACUUGGGAGACUCCGCCGCCGCCGCCGCCGCCGCCACAACUUGGCCCAUUUAAACGGCCCCGGCGCGGCGGGCGGCGCGGGCUCCCGCGGGGGGUGCGUGACGGCCGACUCGGGGCAUCCGGCGGCGGCAGCGGGACGGGGCUGCGGCCCCCGGCGCUAUCCCGAGUACCGAGUCACUGGGACGGCUGGAAUCCGGGACUCCGCGCGGGACUGGGAUGGGCUGGGCCGGUCGCGGACCGGGCUCCUCUCGGAGGGAGGGAGCCGGGGGCUGCUCGCCGCGGUGUGA
ensembl:lncRNA